rnacentral:rRNA from 1 species
CUGCUCAGAUUGAACGCUAGCGGGAUGCCUUACACAUGCAAGUCGAACGGCAGCACGGACUUCGGUCUGGUGGCGAGUGGCGAACGGGUGAGUAAUAUAUCGGAACGUGCCCAGUAGCGGGGGAUAACUACGCGAAAGCGUAGCUAAUACCGCAUACGCCCCACGGGGGAAAGCAGGGGAUCGCAAGACCUUGCACUAUUGGAGCGGCCGAUAUCGGAUUAGCUAGUUGGUGAGGUAAUGGCUCACCAAGGCGACGAUCCGUAGCUGGUUUGAGAGGACGACCAGCCACACUGGGACUGAGACACGGCCCAGACUCCUACGGGAGGCAGCAGUGGGGAAUUUUGGACAAUGGGGGAAACCCUGAUCCAGCCAUCCCGCGUGUGCGAUGAAGGCCUUCGGGUUGUAAAGCACUUUUGGCAGGAAAGAAACGGCGCGUGCUAAUACCAUGCGCAACUGACGGUACCUGCAGAAUAAGCACCGGCUAACU